GCAGUCGUGGCCUACUGGUUAGGGCUUCAGGCUUGUAACCGAAGGGUUGCUGGUUCGAUCCCCGACCAGUAGGA
rnacentral:tRNA from 1 species